AUGGAUUAGUAUGUCUCAAAACUGGGAUUAUUCUUUAACACUGGACGGGGGCGGGAAGAAAAGGCGGGAGAGGGAGGAACCGGGGAGUGGAGGAUCUGCUCCGACCUAAAAGCCCGCAGAAAUUGUAACAAAGCGGCCAUUUGCGAUGAAGGGUGUAUUUGUAUUUUGAUUCUCGGAUUUAUAAUCUGCCGCCACCGCUUGAUUGGAGAGAAACACAGGGGCAUCGCAGAUCGGGUCAAAUCAUAGCCAUUGAUGUGGCCUGGGUUCUCCUAUCGUCUAUCCACUGCAAUCGAGUACGGACCAGAGAAGGAGAUGGGGCCUACUAAAAAGACGUAUUUUGAUGGGACGAUGAAGGUUGAUGCUGCCACCUUGCAACUGGCUGUCCAUGUGUCCUGGAAUGCCUGCGAUAUACAAGAUUAUUUUACUGUUACAUCUGUUUACUGACGGUAAAAGAGACUUUUUCAACUGUUUGGCGUUAGUUUUCAGGAUGCUGUCUACUCCGCCCAAUUAUUCUUGCUCACAUCCUGACCCAACUGCCAUAACGAGAUUCCGUCUUUCUAGAUGGGCCCACCCUACCUUUCCCAUUUCCCUUCCCCGUAAAAUACCAUUUCCACCACACGUACACAUAAUGUGCAAUUGUAAGUUCAUAACUAUUUUUAUUAAGAUAAAGAUUUAAUGUUUCA